rnacentral:rRNA from 1 species
AGCCGCUGCUAUCGGGUCCGACUAAGCCUGCGAGUCUGGGACGCCUCGCGCGUCCCGGCGCACGGCUCAGUAACACGUGGCCAACCUACCCUCGGGUGGGGGACAACCCCGGGAAACUGGGGAUAAUCCCCCAUAGGCCUGGGAUCCCUGGAACUGGGCCCAGGCCGAAAGGCUUUUGCCGCCCGAGGAUGGGGCUGCGGCCCAUCAGGUUGUAGGGGGUGUAACGGACCCCCUAGCCGACGACGGGUACGGGCCCUGGGAGGGGGAGCCCGGAGAUGGACCCUGAGACAAGGGUCCAGGCCCUACGGGGCGCAGCAGGCGCGAAACCUCCGCAAUGCGGGCAACCGUGACGGGGGGACCCCGAGUGCCGGGGCUCUUAAUGGGUCCCGGCUUUUCCGGAGUGUAAGUAGCUCCGGGAAUAAGGGCUGGGCAAGACCGGUGGCAGCCGCCGCGGUAAUACCGGCGGCCCGAGUGGCGGCCACUAAUAUUGGGCCUAAAGGGUCCGUAGCCGGCCCCACAAGUCUCCCGGUAAAUCGGGCGGCUCAACCGUCCGGCUUCGGGAGAUACUGUGGGGCUAGGGACCGGGAGAGGCUGGGGGUACUCCCGGGGUAGGGGUAAAAUCCUAUAAUCCCGGGGGGACCACCUGUGGCGAAGGCGCCCGGCUGGAACGGUUCCGACGGUGAGGGACGAAGGCCAGGGGAGCGAACCGGAUUAGAUACCCGGGUAGUCCUGGCUGUAAACGCUGCGGGCUAGGUGUUGGGGAUCCUUCGGGGAUCCCCGGUGCCGAAGGGAAGCCGGAAGCCCGCCGCCUGGGGAGUACGGCCGCAAGGCUGAAACUUGAAGGAAUUGGCGGGGGAGCACCGCAACGGGCGGAGCGUGCGGUUCAAUUGGAUUCAACGCCGGAAACCUCACCGGGGGAGACCGGCAGAUGAGGGUCAGGCUGAAGACCUUACCCGAUCAAGAGCCGGAGAGGUGGUGCAUGGCCGCCGUCAGCUCGUACCGUGAGGCGUUCUGUUAAGUCAGCCAACGAGCGAGACCGCGCCCCUAGUUGCGACGGUAC